UGGGUUAGUGGCGAACGGGUGAGUAACACGUGAGUAACCUGCCCUCCACUUUGGGAUAACUCCGAGAAAUCGGGGCUAAUACUGGAUAUGACCUUGGCCCGCAUGGGUUGUGGUGGAAAGUUUUUCGGUGGGGGAUGGGCUCGCGGCCUAUCGGUUUGUUGGUGAGGUAGUGGCUCACCAAGGCGAUGACGGGUAGCCGGCCUGAGAGGGCGACCGGCCACACUGGGACUGAGACACGGCCCAG
rnacentral:rRNA from 1 species